rnacentral:rRNA from 1 species
CUUCGACGAGUCGAGUUGUUUGGGAAUGCAGCUCAAAAUGGGUGGUAUAUUUCAUCUAAAGCUAAAUACCGGCCAGAGACCGAUAGCGCACAAGUAGAGUGAUCGAAAGAUGAAAAGCACUUUGGAAAGAGAGUCAAACAGUACGUGAAAUUGUUGAAAGGGAAGCGCUCGCAACCAGACCUGCCCGCGGCCGAUCAACCGUCCUUCUGGGCGGUGCACUCGGCCGCGAUCAGGCCAGCAUCGGUUCGGGCGGCCGGAUAAAGGCCCUGGGAACGUAGCUCCUCUCGGGGAGUGUUAUAGCCCUCGGUGCAAUGCGGCCCGCCUGGACCGAGGACCGCGCUUCGGCUAGGAUGCUGGCGUAAUGGUUGUGAGCGGCCCGUCUUGAAACACGGACCAAGGAGUCUAACAUCUAUGCGAGUGUUUGGGUGUCAAACCCAUGCGCGUAAUGAAAGUGAACGGAGGUGGGAACCCAUUCGGGCGCACCAUCGACCGAUCCAGAUGUCUUCGGAUGGAUUUGAGUACGAGCAUAGCUGUUGGGACCCGAAAGAUGGUGAACUAUGCCUGAAUAGGGUGAAGCCAGAGGAAACUCUGGUGGAGGCUCGCAGCGGUUCUGACGUGCAAAUCGAUCGUCAAAUUUGGGUAUAGGGGCGAAAG